GCAUCGAUAGCUCAGUGGCAGAGCGGUGGGGCGUUUACCCAUGCGGCCCGGUUUCGAGCCCCGGUCAUUGCG